rnacentral:rRNA from 1 species
AUUGAACGCUGGCGGCAUGCCUUACACAUGCAAGUCGAACGGUAACAGGUCUUCGGAUGCUGACGAGUGGCGAACGGGUGAGUAAUACAUCGGAACGUGCCUAGUAGUGGGGGAUAACUACUCGAAAGAGUGGCUAAUACCUCAUGAGAUCUACGGAUGAAAGCAGGGGAUAGCAAGACCUUGUGCUACUAAAGCGGCCGGUGGCAGAUUAGGUAGGUGGUGGGAUAAAAGCUUACCAAGCCGACGAUCUGUAGCUGGUCUGAGAGGACGAUCAGCCACACUGGGACUGAGACACGGCCCAGACUCCUACGGGAGGCAGCAGUGGGGAAUUUUGGACAAUGGGCGCAAGCCUGAUCCAGCAAUGCCGCGUGCAGGAUGAAGGCCUUCGGGUUGUAAACUGCUUUUGUACGGAACGAAAAGCCCCGGGUUAAUACCCUGGGGUCAUGACGGUACCGUAAGAAUAAGCACCGGCUAACUACGUGCCAGCCGCCGCAGUAA